CGUGCCUACGGGGGGCAGCAGUGGGGAAUAUUGGACAAUGGGGGGAACCCUGAUCCAGCGACGCCGCGUGAGUGAAGAAGUAUUUCGGUAUGUAAAGCUCUAUCAGCAGGGAAGAAAGAAAUGACGGUACCUGACUAAGAAGCCCCGGCUAACUACGUGCCAGCAGCCGCGGUAAUACGUAGGGGGCAAGCGUUAUCCGGAUUUACUGGGUGUAAAGGGAGCGUAGGCGGCAGUGCAAGUCAGAAGUGAAAGCCCGGGGCUCAACUCCGGGACUGCUUUUGAAACUGUACAGCUUGAUUGCAGGA
rnacentral:rRNA from 1 species